UGAAGCCCAGAAAUCGGGAUUUUAAAAAGAUUCCCAGGUGAUUCUAAUGUGCAGCCAAGGUUGAGAACCACUGCUCUUGGCCAUCCCGGUGGUGGGACUGGCCUUCAUGCUCGGCUACUAGCACCACACUGUCUUGCAGCCCCUUCAGUGACUCUCAUGCCACAGUCUGCACGGUGGUAGGGGAUGUCAGUGAGGCAAUGGUGGGGCUGUUGGGACGCUGCCACAUGGGGGCUGCCCACAAUGGGGUGGGUCUCUAGGUCCCAGGGGCUACUUUCUGUAGCGUGAGGGUCCUAUUCUGGCCCCCAGCAAUUGCACUGUAAAGGGAGUGGCACUCGGUGAUGGUGCAGGCUGUCUGGCAGGCCCUUUUGUAGAAUCUGGCUGCCCUGGGGCUGCCACCCACCACCACUAAGUACACCAUCACUUGGAACAUCAGGGUUGGCUCCCUGGGUGGCCCAGGCUGGAGGUAUGUUGUUCCAGGAGCACAGAGGGUAAUUGUAUGUGGAGGCUAUAUACCCACUGCUCCCAUUGUUGAAACCCUUUGCAGGUGAGCUAGCAUCCUAGGUGCAGUAAGGGUUUCAUCAACAAGGUGGGCGGGGCAGGCGUUCUUGUUGCUCAGGAGCCACUAGCACAUCCUUUGGAAACAAAAUGACACAGGUGUGACCUUCCCACCCACACUCACUGCUAUUGCUGCCUGCUUCACCUGUAAUUGCAUAGAAGGGUCAGGAAGAAGGCCUCCAGGAUGGGUGACUACUAGAUUGGAGAGGAGGAGCUGGGGCCAGGGGCCCCAGAAUGAGGAAGGGAGCUCCCUUAGACUCAACCAUGUAAGGCAUAGAAAGCAUUAUGGCAAGAAACUCACCGCUUUUAAUCCUGGCAGGAAGGACAAGGAAAACCAAAGACAAAGAUUUAAGUAGGCUUUACUAUUCUCCCAUUGGGGGAGGGAGAGGGGGAAUGUCAUAUUUAAUAAACACCUCCCUUCGGUUCUCCCA